CCCCACCUUUACCCUACAACAUCUCAUGUCUAUAGAGAGGUCCAGCCCUCCGAUGCAACUUGACCACUGUAUCCAGCCGAGACAAAUCCAACACUCAGAAGGCCUUAGCAGCUCUACUACAGUAGAAGACCUAUUGACUUAAUAUUGGUUAAUCAGGUCUUAGUGUUUGCAACUUGAGCUCUUCAUAAGAGGUAAUCGAACAAUUGGCCAGGUAAGCAGGUGGGAGGCU
rnacentral:lncRNA from 1 species